rnacentral:rRNA from 1 species
AGAGUUUGAUCAUGGCUCAGGAUGAACGCUGGCGGCGUGCCUAAUACAUGCAAGUCGAGCGAACGGACGAGAAGCUUGCUUCUCUGAUGUUAGCGGCGGACGGGUGAGUAACACGUGGAUAACCUACCUAUAAGACUGGGAUAACUUCGGGAAACCGGAGCUAAUACCGGAUAAUAUUUUGAACCGCAUGGUUCAAAAGUGAAAGACGGUCUUGCUGUCACUUAUAGAUGGAUCCGCGCUGCAUUAGCUAGUUGGUAAGGUAACGGCUUACCAAGGCAACGAUGCAUAGCCGACCUGAGAGGGUGAUCGGCCACACCGGAACUGAGACACGGUCCAGACUCCUACGGGAGGCAGCAGUAGGGAAUCUUCCGCAAUGGGCGAAAGCCUGACGGAGCAACGCCGCGUGAGUGAUGAAGGUCUUCGGAUCGUAAAACUCUGUUAUUAGGGAAGAACAUAUGUGUAAGUAACUGUGCACAUCUUGACGGUACCUAAUCAGAAAGCCACGGCUAACUACGUGCCAGCAGCCGCGGUAAUACGUAGGUGGCAAGCGUUAUCCGGAAUUAUUGGGCGUAAAGCGCGCGUAGGCGGUUUUUUAAGUCUGGUGUGAAAGCCCACGGCUCAACCGUGGAGGGUCAUUGGAAACUGGAAAACUUGAGUGCAGAAGAGGAAAGUGGAAUUCCAUGUGUAGCGGUGAAAUGCGCAGAGAUAUGGAGGAACACCAGUGGCGAAGGCGACUUUCUGGUCUGUAACUGACGCUGAUGUGCGAAAGCGUGGGGAUCAAACAGGAUUAGAUACCCUGGUAGUCC